CGCUUCUCUCCUCAACUGUCCUCUGCGAGUCUGCACUCACGCAAGUGUCGGUUGUGUGCGCGCCUGUGCACGGUCGCAUUUGAACGUCGUGCGCCACUCGCGCUUGUGCUCGUGUGUGUGUAUGUGUGCAUCGACGGACGCAUUGCCAUUCCGACUCUUUCUUCCUUUUCUCUACCCUCCUAGACGGUAUUGCUGCCUGUGUCUUCCGUCAUCAAGCGGGACGCGUGGGCACCAUGCCGACCUCCAGCGGCGUCGAUCAGGCCAAGCUGCGGGAGGUGAUCCGUGUGCUGAAGAGCGUCGGCCACGUAGGGAUGGCAGAGUCGUUGGAGGUGGAGUGGGGCAUGCGGCCCAACACCGCCUCUCACGCAAAGAACGCGAAGAAAGGACGGAAGUCGCAGCCACACAAGAGUCGCGAGUCCUCCAAGGCACGGGGCAACUCGUUCCCGUCCCUCUCCUCCAUCGCGGUCGCACCCUCUCCUCUCCAGGUGACGUCGCAGAGGCGAUUUGUGGUCACCUGCAUUGGUGACGAGGAGGACUUGUGGAGCCCGGACGAGGACCCCGCGGAUGCGAAGUGCUGCAUCGCGCCGCUCUUUGACUACGGCGCCGGCCUCCUGCGCGACCACUACGUCGAGUACGCUGCGCACCCCGUCUCUUUGGUGUCUGUUCAUCCAUAUGAGAAGCAGCAGCCACCGUCGAACUUACCAUGGCGUCACUUCGAACUUAAGGUGUUCUACGAGGCAGGGAAGACGGGGUCGGAGGAGAAAAAGGAGUUUGAAUUAGUGAAGGGCUAUCUCAUAGGCGGACGCUACCGCGUGGAUGCCCCGAUCGAUGCCGCGACCUUUUCUCGAACUGUCCGAUGCUACGACGAGCAGACAGGCCAGCCUGUGUGCCUCAAGAUAAUCCGAAACUCCAAGACCUUCUUAGACCAAGGCCUCGACGAGCUACGAGCGCUGACCUGCGUCAACGACGCCGGCGACGCCGAUGCAUGCUGCGUCGUGCGGCUGCUCGACUACUUCUACUUUCGAGAGCACCUUGUCCUCGUCACGGAGCUCCUGUUCGACAACCUGUACGAAUAUGCGAGGAAGCUCGACAUUGUAGAGCGCUGCGCUUACUUCACCCUUGCGCGUCUGCAGCGCAUCGUGCGCCAGGUGCUCACCGCGCUAAAGCUAAUCCAUUCCGUCAACCUCAUUCACUGCGACAUCAAGCCGGAGAAUAUCGCCUUCAAAUCAGUGGCCGACUGCGAUGUGAAAGUGCUCGACUUGGGCAGCAGCUGCUACAUGACGGACACGCUCAGCUCCUACGUCCAGUCCCGCUCCUACCGUGCGCCCGAGGUCAUUCUCGGCUGCAAGUACGGCCCCGCGGUCGACAUUUGGUCUCUGGGGGCUACAGCAGCAGAGCUGGCGACUGGAACAGUGCUCUUCAAUGUUGAGUCCGUGCCUACCAUGCUUGCCUCUAUCGCGAGCGUAUGCGGGCCGAUACCGGCGGAGAUGCUCCAGGAAGGGCGCAAUACCUCCCUCUACGUCACAAAACACGGGGCCUUCUACGACUACGAGGAUGAGCAGCUCGUCUUCCACUUUCCAUCGGAGCCGCCCGACGCGGCGGUGCUCUUCGGCUUCGACGAUCACGACUACGUUGGCUUUGUGCGGCUGUGCUUGACCUUGGACGCCGCAUUACGUCCCUCCGCCGCGCAGCUUCUCGAUCACCCGUUUCUCACCAAAACCUACACCGACUGAUGGUCUUUAUCUCUGGCUCUUGGAGGUGUUUCUGACGCUGCGGCUGCCUCUCCAUCCAUGAGUCCCUUCCUCUCGCGGCGUUGCUUCUCAUUCUCCGCUGUGUGCUGCUUUCACCCAAACGCCUUUUAUUCGCUUGAGUAUAUAUGCACAUGCACAACGUCACACAAUGUCGGUAUAAGAGGCGCCGUCCGUGUUGUCUCCUCUCCCUCCCCACACACCCCGCUCCUUGUUUGCGCGUCUCUCUCUGCCCCCUCAUAUUAGAUAUCACUGUUUUCCUUUUUCUUCUCGCUGUUCUCUCACCUCUCUCCCUCUGACUCUUCUUCGCUUCAACUCUCUCGGUGAAUGCAUGCACACGUGUAUGUGUGUGCGCCUUGUGCGCGUUUCCUUGUGGUCUCCCCAUUUUUCAUGUAUUUGUAUGUAUUUGCGACGGUGGUGGCCGUGGUGCAUGCGUGUAUCCAUUCUUGCAUGCUGCAACUACUGCUGCGGUUGUCGUCGGUAUUGUUGCUGCUUUUAGCGUCGAACAUGUGAGGGACGAUGACGCAGGGCGCUUCAGCGCCUAUCUUCUGUUUUUCGUUUCCUUUUCUCUGAGCCGGCUCCCAUUACUUUCUUGUCAAAACCGCCGAGGGGACGGCACGCACUAGCACCACGACGACGGUGGCGUCGACCCUCUCAUCCCUCCGCAUCAGCGCAUCACCACCUCCACCCUCCAACUUUCCCAGCCUCUGUUGCUCCUUUCCGUCUUAUACACACCACGUCUCCCUCACACUUUCUCUUUUUCGCUGAGUGCCUGCUGCUACUUGUUUUCUCUUAUCAUUUCAUGGCUUUCUCCACUGACACACACAGACACAGACACACCCUCAGGGGGCUCCGCUCAGCGGUGCUGCGGCUCCAUUCUCGCGUCAUCCCUUUCUCUCCAUUGAUGUGCGCCGCUUCUUUUUUGUUUUUCUUCCUCGUUCUUCUUGAUGCCGUCGCCUCUCCCUAUGACGGCACCACUGCGCAGCUCACUAAGUGCACCCAUUUGCGAUGAGUGCGUGUGUUGGCCGGUGCGCGUGUACUAUUAUUGCCCUGAGGCCCCAUCUACAUUCUCUUCUCUUUCUCUGUGGUGACUCGCCAUUCUGUUUCGUGCCAUGCCCUCAAACAUGUGUGUGUGCGCUUGUCUCUCUCUCGCUCUCUCUUGCUAUCGUUAUUGCCGUUUGCGUGUGCUUGCGCCGAUGAACAC
rnacentral:misc_RNA from 1 species